GUGUGGAGUUUGCAUGUUCUCCCCAUGUCGUCGUGGGGUUUCCUCCGGGUACUCCGGUUUCCCCCCACAGUCCGAAAACAUGCUGAGGCUAAUUGGACUUGCUAAAUUGCCCGUAGGAAUGCAUGUGAGAGUGACUGGUGUGUGAGUGUGCCCUGCGAUGGGCUGGCCCCCCAUCCUGGGUUGUUCCCUGCCUCGUGCCCAUUGCUUCCGGGAUAGGCUCCGGACCCCCCGUGACCCAGUAGGAUAAGCGGUUUGGAAAAUGGAUGGAUGGAUGGAUAGUUUAAUAUGCUGUUGCAGUUAGAUUUCACUUUUUCUAAUCAUGUAGAUGGCAGAAUUUUAUGUGGUGGAAUUUCCUGAGCGGGAAGAAGUAGCAGUAGUGAGCAAACACUGGAUGAAGGGGGAGAAGAAGUGUCCGUGGCCAACAUUUGUUUCGCCAGACAAAAUAGGAAAAGCUGCAACCAAUCAGGUAAAACCUGACAUUUCCUGGCAGUGUUAUGCAGGUGAAAUUGCCUAUUCAACAGAAAGUUAUGAGAAAGCCAAGAAAAAUGCCAAGGCGAUAGAAGAGGACUCUUCAUUUUCCAGUGAUCCAGAAUGACAGCUGCAAAGGGGAGAUCGUUGUAGAAGGGUGGCCCUUAUAAAUGGAAAAAAGGCUAAAGAAUAACCAAGGACGUCGGACUGAAUCGCAGACAGCAGACGAAGAAGGCUUCACAGAGACAUUCUGUGAUUUAUUUGACAUUGCUCACCAGAUGCAUUGUCAUUAAUUACUGCUGAAGAAGACAAAGCCUUUCUGCUUGCACAACGUGAACAAGGCCGAAAGGGUGUCAUGGCAGGCGUGGAUGCAUCGUCGGUAAAGAAAAAAGCAGAACUGAACAUUAACCGGAUAAACGCUGUAAGUGGGAAGAAAAACAGAAAGCGGAACUAGAUUUGUUGAACCAAAGUAUUGCGCUCUCCUCAAGUCACUCUUAAUCUUUUUGGCCAAUUUCUGCAUUAUAGAAUCAGAAUGUAUACUCUCUGCAGUUUAAUCCAUUAGCAUCUGUGGUUUGUGUGAAUGUUGUCUAAAGACUGUAAUUGUCUAUUAUGGCUGUGUGGUAUGUCCAAACUCAUGUAACAUUCCAUUGGUAAAUUCAAUUCAAUUUAUUUUUAUAUAGCAGUUUUUACAACAAAGUUGCCCCAAUGCGCUUUACAGGAGUGUGUUGUGAAACAUCCUUAACAGAGAUAACGACAGAACACAGAAACAGUGAAAAUGGAAAAAUGAAAGAGAAAGUCAGAUGACAGUGGAGGGCAGGAACCAAAAACUCCCAAGUGGGGAGAAAAAAACCUCUGGGGGUCCAAGGUCAACUGGCAGCCCCACCCCCCUGGGCAUGCUAACAUUACUGGAUAAAGGUAGAGAAGUAGCCGGAUUGUUUGCUAAGAGCAAGGUGUAAACUGUGAUCCGGUCCUAGUUAAAGUCCAUCAGUGAGACAGUCCUCCACAUAGGCCUGUGUCGGGUGGCAGGAUGGAAGCUGCACCGACAUCGUCAUAGAUCGCAGGUCACAUCUGUGAUGGCACCCUUCCGUAGACCCUGAUGGCAGCUCAGAAGGUGCCCCCUCAGGCACCCUCCAGACGUGUGGGAAGGAAGGCAGAGAGUGCAGGUGUCAAAGAGUGCACUGAUACAUUAAUGGACAAGCACGGUAGGUAGAAAUGGCACGUACAGCAGCAUCAGCAGCCAUAAUUACGGUGUUAAGUGUUAACUUGUGGGUAAGCUAAGCUGAAGUAAUAGGUCUUCAGUCGAGAUUUAAAGACAGACCGAUUCAGCAUCCCGAACAUAGGCUGGUAAGCCAUUCCACUGUAUAGGGUCCCUGUAGCAGAAUGCUUUACCACCAACAGUCGCUUUAGUUUUAUUAAAUAAAAAUGCAGAACUGAUCAUUAACCGGAUAAACGCUGUAAGUGGGAAGAAAAACAGAAAGCGGAACUAGAUUUGUUGAACCAAAGUACUGCACUCUCCUCAAGUCACUCUGAAUCUUCUGAUUCAACAUAAAGAGUGUUUGGACGUGCGGCUGUAGAAAACAAAAUAAGCUGAAAGAGAGGAAGGAACUUACUGACUGCUGAUGUUGUAGAAUCACUUGGCUGCACCAAAACAAGUUUUCGCAGUGCAGUGCACACACUCUCCACUGCUGUUCAUGCUUCUGGGCAGAAAGUCGACGACUUCAAUAUCAACCACUCUUCCAUUUAACAUGCAUGCAAAAGCAUCAUUUUCUCAGAGCAAGUGAACUGAAGGCAAACAGUGGACCACCUUCCAAUCACUGUGUCUGGGUCUGGAGUUGAUCGACUUCUUCGUAUUGCCAAACUGAGUGCUAGCACUGGUGAAGCAAUGGCUAAUGCAACGCUGGAAGAGGUUGAGUCAUGGGGAAUUAAGGAUCGUAUAAAAGCACUCAGUCUUGAUACCACAGCGAGCAAUACUGGGCGAAAAAAAUAGUGCCUGUUUGUUGUUUGAAGGCAAGAUUAAUUCAGACCUGCUGUAUUUGGCUUACCGUCAUCACAUUCACUAACUAAUGCUAGACGACUUCCGAGCAGAAGUCACACGUUUCUCAGUUGCAGACUGCAUAACCCUGUCAUGACUACAGAGAACUACUUGAACUAGCCAUUGUGUUUCUGGGUGCUGUGCCUCCCCGUGUUCAUAUUACCAAACCUGGUGCAUUGCAUUGAGCUCGCUUCAUGGCCAAGCUGAUAUAUGCAUACAAAAUAUUCUUGUUUCGAACAAAAAGGCUUGGCAGAUCUCUGCACAUUUGGCCUUCAGGUCUACCUCCAAUUGUGGUGCAAUUGUGCCCAUAUUGUGUCACAGUAAAGAAUUUCUUCCUCCUCCAUACAAACCAGUACAUUAAAAAGACAAAACCAGUUUACCUUCAUUACAUGUCUUACAUUUUUGUUCAUUAUCCUGAAGCAAGCUAGAAACUUGGAUUUGAUUUUGUGCACUCUUGAAAGAAAAUGUAAAAGAAGAUAAAAAUAUAACCAUGGGGGGGGGGAGGGCACAGUGAUGCACUGAUUAGCACUGUUACCUCACACUGUGUUGUUGGGGGGUUUUCUCCAGGUACAACAGUCCCCCCCAGCUAACUGCAUUUAUCAAAUUGUCAAUAGAUGCACAUGUGUGAGUGAAUGCUGUGUGACUGAAUGCUGUGUGAGUGACUGCUGUGUGACUGAAUGCUGUGUGAGUGAAUGCUGUGUGACUGAAUGCUGUGUAAGUGACUGCAGUGUGACUGAAUGCUGUGUGACUGAAUGCUGUGUGAGUGACUGCUGUGUGAGUGACUGCUGUGUGACUGAAUGCUGUGUGAGUGACUGCUGUGUGACUGAAUGCUGUGUGACUGAAUGCUGUGUGAGUGACUGCUGUGUGACUGAAUGCUGUGUGAGUGACUGCUGUGUGACUGAAUGCUGUGUGACUGAAUGCUGUGUGACUGAAUGCUGUGUGAGUGACUGCUGUGUGACUGAAUGCUGUGUGACUGAAUGCUGUGUGAGUGACUGCUGUGUGACUGAAUGCUGUGUGAGUGACUACUGUGUGACUGAAUGCUGUGUGACUGAAUGCUGUGUGAGUGACUGCUGUGUGACUGAAUGCUGUGUGAGUGACUGCUGUGUGAGUGACUGCUGUGUGACUGAAUGCUGUGUGACUGAAUGCUGUGUGACUGAAUGCUGUGUGACUGAAUGCUGUGUGAGUGAAACACACCUAUACUUGCACAUACAAGAAUGGCUGCAUACGAGGUUGAGUGAUCAGUAUCUUUAUUAUUAUUACUUUUUAGAGUAACUGAUAGGAAUUAAAAUAUUUGUGUAUAUGUGUAUGAUCACAUGUGUGUAUGUUGCAUAUAUAUAAUAACUAUUUGUAACGUUAUUACGAUUAUUAUUGUUGUUGAUAUUAUUGUUGUUAUAACUUUUUAUUGUUGUCAUCAUUAUCCUGCUGUUACUGUUUUGUCGUUUGAUGUCCUUUUAAUGAAUGUUAUGUGUGUUA